UAAUAAGCGGAGGAAAAGAAACUAACAAGGAUUCCCCUAGUAAUGGCGAAUGAAGCGGGAAGAGCUCAAAUUUGAAAUCUGCGUCGCCUGCGACGCCGAAUUGUAGUUUCUAGAAGCACUUUCUAGGCGGGUCCGGGGCCGUCCAAGUUGCUUGGAACAGCACGUCAUAGAGGGUGACAACCCCGUCUGUGGCGGAACCGGCCGCUGACGAUGUGCUUUCGACGAGUCGGGUUGUUUGGGAAUGCAGCCCAAAAUGGGUGGUAAACUCCAUCUAAAGCUAAAUACUGUCACGAGACCGAUAGCGAACAAGUACCGUGAGGGAAAGAUGAAAAGUACGUGAAACCGUUAAAAGGGAAACGGAUGGGGUCAGCAAUGCGUUGCAGUGCGCCGAGACCGUUCUCGGUCGCUGGGACGGUGACUUCGCACCACGCGCCAAGGACGCUGGCGAUCAAAUGGCCUCAUUCGACCCGUCUUGAAACACGGACCC
rnacentral:rRNA from 1 species